GACGAACGCUGGCGGCGUGCCUAAUACAUGCAAGUCGAACGCUUCUUUCCUCCCGAGUGCUUGCACUCAAUUGGAAAGAGGAGUGGCGGACGGGUGAGUAACACGUGGGUAACCUACCCAUCAGAGGGGGAUAACACUUGGAAACAGGUGCUAAUACCGCAUAACAGUUUAUGCCGCAUGGCAUAAGAGUGAAAGGCGCUUUCGGGUGUCGCUGAUGGAUGGACCCGCGGUGCAUUAGCUAGUUGGUGAGGUAACGGCUCACCAAGGCCACGAUGUAUAGCCGACCUGAGAGGGUGAUCGGCCACACUGGGACUGAGACACGGCCCAGACUCCUACGGGAGGCAGCAGUAGGGAAUCUUCGGCAAUGGACGAAAGUCUGACCGAGCAACGCCGCGUGAGUGAAGAAGGUUUUCGGAUCGUAAAACUCUGUUGUUAGAGAAGAACAAGGACGUUAGUAACUGAACGUCCCCUGACGGUAUCUAACCAGAAAGCCACGGCUAACUACGUG
rnacentral:rRNA from 1 species